GAUAAGCCCGCGAAUGUCUUCUCGAGCUUCAGCCACCCAUAGUGUCGGAAUACUAUUUUCCUAGUUUUCAGAUAAUUAUGUAGGAUUCUAUAAUUAGUGCUAUCCAAAAUGCCUUCACAUUCGGCAAAUUGGAUAUCAUUUUCGUGUUGCAAACGUCAGUAAGUCAAAUUCUUAUCUGACUAUAAAUAAUAAAAUGGGUUUGGCGAAGGGUUUUUCUAUCUCAUGCCGUAUGGUGUUGAGUGUCUAAUUGAUGCAGCACACUUCAAGAGCUAAUCGAUCAAAGAAGGUGAUUCCAAUCAAAAUAAGGAAACGACAGACAUAGAAGGCGAGAACGGUGCCCUUGAUGAAGCACACCUCAACAGCUCCUCAAAUAAGGAAGGUGAUUUGAAUCAAAUUGAGGGAACAACCAUUUUAGAAGGUGGGGACGUCGCCCUUGGUCCAGCUACUGGUCACCCAUGCCGCCAAAGAAAGCCCCCUACAAUAGAAGGUUUCAUUUAUUAUUAACUUACUAUUAUUUCAUGUAGAGAGGCCUAUAAAUCGGCCCUCAAACCUUUAGCUUGGCGGUGAAUGAGAUGAAGAGUUCCUUACCUGAUCGCGAGAUCCCGUCGCCCCGGCUUGGGUUGGUCGGAGGACCCCGCCGCUCCCGGUCUGGAGCACCCUUUCCCCUCCCUUCCCUUUCUUCUAUCACCACCAGCUACCACCACCUGUUCGCUGCCGUUUCCUUUUCGUUGCCCAUCACCGCCGGCCUUGCUAUACCGCCGCUGCCGCCGCUGCCUACCACCGCCUCACCGCUACUCGCCGCCGACCGCCGCCCUCACCCGCCGUCGCCGCCUCCGUCGUUUUCCCCUCUCCCCGCCGCUGGAUACCGUCCCAUUUUAAGGCUAGGGCUAUUUCAUUCGUGGGCCUGAUGUCCCCCAGCCCACUUCCACUAGCCCACCACCACUGACCCUUUUGACUAGCCGCAACCCGAACCGUUUGGCGUGAGUCAUCCGGCCACCCCGGACC
rnacentral:lncRNA from 1 species